rnacentral:rRNA from 1 species
GACGAACCGUGCGAACGUUAUUCGGAAUCACUGGGCUUAAAGGGCGCGUAGGCGGGUUGCCAAGUCUGUGGUGAAAUCCUCCGGCUUAACCGGAGAACUGCCGUGGAUACUGGCGACCUCGAGGGGGGUAGGGGCUUGCGGAACUGUGCGUGGAGCGGUGAAAUGCGUUGAUAUGCACAGGAACUCCGGUGGCGAAGGCAGAUCUCUGGGCCGUAACUGACGCUGAGGAGCGAAAGCAUGGGGAGCGAACAGG